UAUCUUUUUUUUUUUUUUAAAAACAAUAUAAAAACAAAAGCCAUAAAGGAGUACUUCAAUUCGUAGUUCCUUUUUUGUUCAACUCCAAUACGUGGGAAAAUAUACAAGCUGCGAAAGCUUUAUCCACUAUUCGUAUUCCAAGGAAACGUUUCAAAAAAGGUAAAACUCACCAUCGUUAUCGAUAGUUCAGUUAAUCAGAGGAAAGGUCUUUAUUGUAUGCGGGUUCUAUUGUAAAA
rnacentral:ribozyme from 1 species